rnacentral:rRNA from 1 species
AUUGAACGCUGGCGGCAGGCCUAACACAUGCAAGUCGAACGAGUGGCGGACGGGUGAGUAAUGUCUGGGAAACUGCCCGAUGGAGGGGGAUAACUACUGGAAACGGUAGCUAAUACCGCAUACCAUCGGAUGUGCCCAGAUGGGAGUAGCUAGUAGGUGGGGUAACGGCUCACCUAGGCGACGAUCCCUAGCGGGUCUGAGAGGAUGACCAGCCACACGGGAACUGAGACACGGUGCAGACUCCUACGUGAGGCAGCGGUGGGGAAUAUUGUACAAUGGGCGUAAGCCGGACGCAGCCAUGCAGCGGGUAUGAAGUAGGCCUGCGGGUUGUAAAGUACUUUAAGCGAGGAGGCGUUACUCGCAGAAGAAGCACCGGCUAACUCCGUGCCAGCAGCCGCGGUAAUUC